AAUGCAUAGGAAUCUGCCCAGUAGUGGGGGAUAACGUGGAGAAAUCCACGCUAAUACCGCAUAUGUCCUACGGGACAAAGCAGGGGACCUUCGGGCCUUGCGCUAUUGGAUGAGCCUAUGUCGGAUUAGCUAGUUGGUAGGGUAAAAGCCUACCAAGGCGGCGAUCCGUAGCUGGUCUGAGAGGAUGAUCAGCCACACUGGGACUGAGACACGGCCCAG
rnacentral:rRNA from 1 species